GUCCUUUAGAAUUUUAUUUAAGGUCUGACCUGCCCACUGAAUAUAUUAAAUGGCCGCAGUAAUUUGACUGUGCAAAGGUAGCAUAAUCAUUAGUUUUUUAAUUAAAAGCUUGUAUGAAAGGUUGGACGAGGUAAAAUCUGUCUCUAUUUAAUUUAAUUUAGAAUUUAACUUUUAAGUCAAAAGGCUUAAAUAUUAUUAAAAGACGAGAAGACCCUAUAGAUCUUUAUAAUUUAUUUAUUAAAUUUAAUUAAGAAUUUUUYAAAUUUUAUUAAUAAAAUUAUUUUAUUGGGGUAAUAUAAAGAUUAAAAUAAUUCUUUUUUUUUAUUUACAUUAAUUUAUGAUUUUUAUGAUCCAGUUUUAUUGAUUAUAAGAUUAAGUUAYCUUAGGGAUAACAGCGUAAUUUUUUUAGAGAGUUCUUAUCGAUAAAAAAGUUUGCGACCUCGAUGUUGGAUUAAAGAUUAUUUCAGGUGUAGAAGUUUGAAAAUUUUGGUCUGUUCGACCAUUAAAUCUUUACAUGAUCUGAGUUCAGACCGGUGUAAGCCAGGUCGGUUUCUAUCUUUAGUAAGUUAAAAUAUUUUAGUACGAAAGGACCAAUUAUUUGAUAUAUAUAUAUUAUUAAUUUUUGAUUAUUAUUAA
rnacentral:rRNA from 1 species